GGCUCGGGCGGGCGCAGGGUCGCGGGUGUAGGGUGGCGGCGCUCCGCCUUUCACCGACGCACCUGGGAGAAACAGACCGGAGGACGCGGGUGGCGCGGAGCACGAGAAACAACGAGUUUCUGUCUAGAUCGUGGGGGACCCAAGCCCGGGGUUGCGUCCAAGGUCGGGGAUGGAGAGGACGCGACCCCCGCGGCAGUCGAGAUGGCCUUUUUAAAAUUCUAUAUUUGAGAAGGAGUCUCGCGCUGUCGCCCAGGCUGGAGCGCAAUGGCGCGAAAUCGGCUCAUUGCAGCCUCGACGUCCAGGACUCGAGCGAUCCUCCCGCCUCAGCCUCUCGAGAAGGUGGGACCACCGGUGGGCACCGCCACGCCCGGCUAAUUUUUAUUAAUGUUUUGCUAGAGCCGGGAUCUUGCUGUGUUGUCUGGCUGGUCUUAAACUCCUGGGCUCCAGCGAUCCUCCCUCCUCGGCCUCCCAAAGCGCUGGGAUUACAGGCAUGAGCCACACUGCGCCUGGCCAAGCUAGUGCAUUUUAAUUGACCUUCACUUCAUGUCAAUUUAUUUUUUACACUAUUCCAUUUAGUCCUCAGAACAGUUCUUUAGAAUUGGGUAUUGCUCCGUUUACGUGGGAAACAUAGCAGCGAGGUAACGGGCUGGGUCCCGUGCUGGGAACGGGAGCCCUGCUCAUCUGACUGCUUGCACCCUGUGCUGUCUAUGCUGGGCGUACUGGGGGGCGUUAGGGAAGAGACCACAGGUACGAUGCAAUGCCUGUCCUCAAGGAGCCCAUUGUUCUCAUGGGAACACAAAGCUGACACAUCGAGAACAAACUAUGGAACAGGCUGUGGCUGAGGGCCAUGAAGGAAGGCUGCCAAGUCCGGGCCCAGCCAGGUAGCAGCCACACCUCUAUCUACCCUGCUCCCCAACACUGGGCACCAGCACUCACCUGCCCAGGACCCACAGUGAAAACCCACCCACAAAAAAUGCACUUUGGAGAAGAGUAGCAGGUCCCAGGCAGAGCCAGGGCCACCUCUCAGAAAGGACAUCAAGUUUCUCGCCCAGCUGAGAGAUGGACAGAUGACCGCACAAGCCACUCACAGCCCAAGGUGAUGGACUCUAGGAUAUAUUCAAGGCUGAGCAACUGGCUUGAAGUCGUGUCUACUUACAUAUUCAAAGACCUAGUGAGCAUUCACAAGUCAUUCUUUUUACCCUCCAACUAGCCGUGUUCUCAACCAGUCUACCUAGGAAUGCUGUUGGCUGUGAAAACUCCAGAGGCUGGUAUCUUUAGAGUUCCUUCAGGGUGCAUUCAGCAUCUGAGCCUAGCGACUCUUGAGGUGAAAGUGCUCACGUUUUUUUUUUGGUGAGAGAGUCUCACUCUGUCGCCCAGGCUGGAGUGCAGUGGCGCAGUCUCAAAGUGCUCAUCUUUAUGUACUUUGGAUGCCGGUGAAUGCCUAUUGUUUCAGCCAGCUGGAUCACUUUACCUGUUAACCAUUCCAAUGAGUGGCCAGAAGGCUCCUCUCCAGGCCUCACAGAGGGAAACACUGGUCUAGUGAGAGACCUGCGUCCUGCCCAUCAGGACCGAAGCGGCACGCGUGAGGAUCCUGCAGGCCAAGAGACAACAGCGAUUACAAACCCCAGUCCCAGCCUUGCAGCUGACCUUGCAGGUGACGCCCUGCCUGGGUGUCUCGGUGCAGCUGCACAUCAGGGGCCUCUGCUGGACAGAAGCUCUGAGUCCACACUUGGCCCCCAGGCGCUGGAGCUGGAGCACUGCCACGAGAGGGGAUGCUGCCGUGGCUGCGCCAGCUUCAGCCCUUUCCCUGCACCGAGAUGUCCCAGUGAGCGGCUGGGUGCUCACAGUUCCCGUUGGGCCAUCAGAGGAAGAUCAAAGAUCAACCCUCCCCCAUGGGCUCCUGCCUGCCUGCCAGGUGGGUUUCCUGCCUGUCUCCCAGCCCCCAAGAGCUCCACGGACUCUGCCAGUAGCUGCUUUAAAGGAGGGAGGGAGUUUUCUGAUCCUCUGGACAUCCCUGGGGCUGGAGCUAUGGGCUGAGCCAUAGGAGAGCCAGCCCAGCUCCCUGGGGGUUGGGGGCUGUGUCUCUCCAUCCCUUAGUAAAAAUACAGCAACUCCCAACUCAAAGUCAAGGGUCAAUAGUCACAAAACCUUGGUGCAGCCUGGAACAGGCAUAGAGGUCUCAGCAGAGCUGCCCAAGGACAAGACCUAAGAUCCAGCAGGGAACUAUGUAGUCACCCCGAGAGGCCCAGCUCUCUCCGUGAGCUCUGGGCCUAGGGUGGGGGUGGUUGUUGGUUCUGCGCGCACUGUUCCCCCUACAUGAUGGGUCCAUCCCAGUUGGCUUCUCUCACUCGCUUCCUCCUGUGGAGAAGCCUGUCCAGGUGUCACUGCCUCCAGGAAGCUGUCUCUGAUUUCUCCAGUUGAACAGUGAGAUUUGCCACACCUCACAUGCAUCGCUCUUGUCCCUGGAAUUGUAACCAUAGGUUUUCCUGUCUCCUGGAGGACAAGGAUGAGGGCUUUCCACUUGAGUCUCCCUGGUGGAGCCCAGCUCCUGACAUACCUGGUAAAAGUUCUCAAGAGAAGAACAUGGAGGAGGAAUGUGGAUAACAACCCUGGCUGCCUGUGUGUUCCAAGCUAGGAAGAUGUAAUGUCCCCACAAACGGGGUAAAUGGCUUGCCUGCGUCACAGCUGUCUCAAGCCCAGGCCCUGGGUGCCAGCCCAAGCCCAAGGACUAGGUCCAGAGCCACACAGCGCCAGGCCACAUCCGCCUCACCUGGGACCUUUUGUGGGGUACAGUCUCCGGCCCCACCCAGACCUGCUGAAGGAGAGACCCCAUGGCAAGGACUCAGCCACCUGCAGUUUCAUAAGCCCCCAGUGGGUUCCUAGGCAUGAAGACCACCGGUUAGAGGCUGAACUGGCAGGAACCUGUCUCCAGCCCCUUCUCACCCCAGCCGGGCCCUGCCUCAGAGGCAGCACCCAGGACGUGGCCAUGACCCGUGGACUCCACUCAAUCCCUCUUCUCCAGGAGCCAUGCAAAGUGUCAGCCAGCCAGGCCCCUGGAAGGCAGUCAUCACCUCUUAAGGCAUUGCGGGUGUCGGUCCUGCAACUGCCAGGUGCAGCACACGACCCAUGUCCGGUGUUCGAUAGCAGGGAGCCAUGACCUGGCAACGAUUCCACGCUCAAAGGGGCACCCGGGGGGCCCUGGGUCGGGGCGGAUCAGCUUUCCCUGGGCACAUCUGCCUCAUUCCAGAUCUCCAGGGCUCAUGUCUGUGACAGGGAGGGAAGGCUCUGCCCUGGCCUUCCGUCAGCUCUGCCAGUGCAGGCUGGGCAGCCUGGGCUUUAGAGCUGGCUUCUGCCCACACUUUCUCCGUGAAAGGAAAACAACUAUGAGUCUGCCAAACGCAUCUCAGAUGCGUUUUAAAAAAUUCUGGUCCCCGCUCUCUGUCCCAUCAUCUGCCUCGGGGACUUCCUCUCUCCGUGGUUCUCACCCCAUACUCUGUCACUGCCACAUUUUCACCUGGGCCUGGCCUUUGUCUC
ensembl:lncRNA LINC01547 long intergenic non-protein coding RNA 1547